UGUUGUUAUGAAAAGUGUUUGUUUUGGCGAGUUUGAACGUUUUUGAGCAUGGGUAAUGGCAUGAAUGCGUUAAGCUGUUGUUUAAGUGUUCUUUUGAUGAGUUUGGCUUAUUGUUGUGAAAAGUGUUUGUUUUGGCGAGUUUGAACGUUUUUGCGCAUGUGUAAUGGCAUGAAUGCGUUAAGCUGUUGUUUUAGUGUUCUUAUGAUGAGUUUGGCUUGUUGUUAUGAACAUUGUUCGUUUUGGCCAGUUUGAAGGUUUUUGAUCAUGUGUAAUGGCAUGAAUGUGUUAAAUUAGUAAUCCCUUGUGUUAAGCUGUUGUUUUAGUGUUCUUUUGAUGAGUUUGGCUUGUUGUUAUGAAAAGUGUUUGUUUUGGCGAAUUUGAACGUUUUUGAGCAUGUCUAUUAGCAUGAAUGCGUUAAGCUGUUGUUUUAGUGUUCUUUUUAUGAGUUUGGCUUGUUGUUAUGAAAAGUGUUUGUUUUGGCGAGUUUGAACGUUUUUGAAAAUGUGUAAUGGCAUGAAUGCGUUAAGCUGUUGUUUUAGUGUUCUUUUGAUGAGUUUGGCUUGUUGUUAUGAAAAGUGUUUGUUUUCGCGAGUUUGAACGUUUUUGAGCAUGUGUAAUGGCAUGAAUGUGUUGAAUUAGUAAUCCCUUGUGUUAAGCUGUUGUUUUAGUGUUGUUUUGAUGAGUUUUGCUUGUUGUUAUGAAAAGUGUUUGCUUUGGCGAGUUUGAACGUUUUUGAGCAUGUGUAAUGGCAUGAAUGCGUUAAUCUGUUGUUUUAGUGUUCUUUUUAUGAGUUUGGCUUGUUGUUAUGAACAUUGUUCGUUUUGGCCAGUUUGAAGGUUUUUUAGCAUGUGUAAUGGCAUGAACGUGUUGAAUUAGUAAUCCCUUGUGUUAAGCUGUUGUUUUAGUAUUCUUUUGAUGAGUUUGGCUUGUUGUUAUGAAAAGUGUUUGUUUUGGCGAGUUUGAUCGUUUUUGAGCAUGUGUAAUGGCAUGAAUGCGUUAAGCUGUUGUUUUAGUGUUCUUUUGAUGAGUUUGGCUUGUUAUGAAAAGUGUUUGUUUUGGCGAGUUUGAACGUUUUUGAGCAUGUGUAAUGGCAUGAAUGCGUUAAGCUGUUGUUUUAGUGUUCUUUUGAUGAGUUUGGCUUGUUGUUAUGAAAAGUGUUUCUUUUGGUGAGUUUGAACGUUUUUGAGCAUGUGUAAUGGCAUGAAUGCGUUAAGCUGUUGUUUUAGUGUUCUUUUGAUGAGUUUGGCUUGUUGUUAUGAAAAGUGUUUGUUUUGGCGAGUUUGAACGUUUUUGAGCAUGUGUAAUGGCAUGAAUGCGUUAAGCUGUUGUUUUAGUGUUCUUUUGAUGAGUUUGGCUUGUUGUUAUGAAAAGACUUUGUUUUGGCGAGUUUGAACGUUUUUUGAGCAUGUGUAAUGGCAUGAAUGCGUUAAGCUGUUGUUUUAUGUUCUUUUGAUGAGUUUGGCUUGUUGUUAUGAACAUUGUUCGUUUUGGCCAGUUUGAAGGUUUUUGAGCAUGUGUAAUGGCAUGAAUGUGUUGAAUUAGUAAUCCCUUGUGUUAAGCCGUUGUUUUAGUGUUCUUUUGAUAAGUUUGGCUUGUUGUUAUGAACAGUGUUUUUUGUUUUUGCGAGUUUGAACGUUUUUGAGCAUGUGUAAUGGCAUGAAUGCGUUAAGCUGUUGUUUUAGUGUUCUUUUGAUGAGUUUGGCUUGUUGUUAUGAAAAGUGUUUGUUUUGGCGAGUUUGAACAUUUUUGAGCAUGUGUAAUGGAAUGAAUGCGUUAAGCUGUUGUUUUAGUGUUCUUUUGAUGAGUUUGGCUUGUUGUUAUGAAAAGUGUUUGUUUUGGCGAGUUUGAACGUUUUUGAGCAUGUGUAAUGGCAUGAAUGCGUUAAGCUGUUGUUUUAGUGUUCUUUUGUUGAGUUUGGCUUGUUGUUAUGAAAAGUGUUUGUUUUGGCCAGUUUGAAGGUUUUUGAGCAUGUGUAAUGGCAUGAAUCUGUUGAAUUAGUAAUCCCUUGUGUUAAGCUGUUGUUUUAGUGUUCUUUUGAUGAGUUUGGCUUGUUGUUAUGAAAAGACUUUGUUUUGGCGAGUUUGAACGUUUUUUGAGCAUGUGUAAUGGCAUGAAUGCGUUAAGCUGUUGUUUUAGUGUUCUUUUGAUGAGUUUGGCUUGUUUUUAUGAACAUUGUUCGUUUUGGCCAGUUUGAAGGUUUUUGAGCAUGUGUAAUGGCAUGAAUGUGUUGAAUUAGUAAUCCCUUUUGUUAAGCCGUUGUUUUAGUGUUCUUUUGAUGAGUUUGGCUUGUUGUUAUGAACAGUGUUUUUUUGCGAGUUUGAACGUUUUUGAGCAUGUGUAAUGGAAUGAAUGCGUUAAGCUGUUGUUUUAGUGUUCUUUUGAUGAGUUUGGCUUGUUGUUAUGAAAAGUGUUUGUUUUGGCGAGUUUGAACGUUUUUGAGCAUGUGUAAUGGCAUGAAUGCGUUAAGCUGUUGUUUUAGUGUUCUUUUGAUGAGUUUGGCUUGUUGUUAUGAAAAGUGUUUGUUUUGGCCAGUUUGAAGGUUUUUGAGCAUGUGUAAUGGCAUGAAUGUGUUGAAUUAGUAAUCCCUUGUGUUAAGCUGUUGUUUUAGUGUUCUUUUGAUGAGUUUGGCUUGUUGUUAUGAAAAGACUUUGUUUUUGCGAGUUUGAAUGUUUUUUGAGCAUGUGUAAUGGCAUGAAUGCGUUAAGCUGUUGUUUUAGUGUUCUUUUGAUGAGUUUGGCUUGUUUUUAUGAACAUUGUUCGUUUUGGCCAGUUUGAAGGUUUUUGAGCAUGUGUAAUGGCAUGAAUGUGUUGAAUUAGUAAUCCCUUGUGUUAAGCCGUUGUUUUAGUGUUCUUUUGAUGAGUUUGUCUUGUUGUUAUGAAAAGUGUUUGUUUUGGCGAGUAUGAACGUUUUUGAGCAUGUGUAAUGGCAUGAAUGCGUUAAGCUGUUGUUUUAGUGUUCUUUUGAUGAGUUUGGCUUGUUGUUAUGAAUAUUGUUCGUUUUGGCCAGUUUGAAGAUUUUUUAGUAUGUGUAAUGGCAUGAAUGUGUUGAAUUAGUAAUCCCUCGUGUUAAGCCGUUGUUUUAGUGUUCUUUUUAUGAGUUUGGCUUGUUUUUAUGAACAUUGUUCGUUUUGGCCAGUUUGAACGUUUUUGAGCAUGUGUAAUGGCAUGAAUGUGUUGAAUUAGUAAUCCCUUGUGUUAAGCCGUUGUUUUAGUGUUCUUUUGAUGAGUUUGGCUUGUUGUUAUGAAAAGUGUUUGUUUUGGCGAGUAUGAACGUUUUUGAGCAUGUGUAAUGGCAUGAAUGCGUUAAGCUGUUGUUUUAGUGUUCUUUUGAUGAGUUUGGCUUGUUGUUAUGAAUAUUGUUCGUUUUGGCCAGUUUGAAGAUUUUUUAGUAUGUGUAAUGGCAUGAAUGUGUUGUAUUAGUAAUCCCUUGUGUUAAGCCGUUGUUUUAGUGUUCUUUUGAUGAGUUUGGCUUGUUGUUAUGAAAAGUGUUUGUUUUGGCGAGUUUGAACGUUUUUGAGCAUGUGUAAUGGCAUGAAUGCGUUAAGCUGUUGCUUUAGUGUUCUUUUGAUGAGUUUGGCUUGUUGUUAUGAAAAGACUUUGUUUUGGCGAGUUUGAA
rnacentral:lncRNA from 1 species